UAAUAAGUGUUUUAUGGCACUUUUUAAAUCCAUAUCCACCUUGUGUGCAAUGUCAGUCGAUCUUCUUCAUGGAGAUCGACCAAACAUCAACCUUUAUCUUUUAACUCUUUGUCUGAAAAAUAUUAUGAAUCAACAAUUCAAAAUA
rnacentral:misc_RNA from 1 species